GACGAACGCUGGCGGCGUGCUUAACACAUGCAAGUCGAGCGGAGCGGCGAACGGGUGAGUAACGCGUGAGUAACUGCCCCCCUCUCUGGGAUAACAGUUGGAAACGGCUUCUAAUACCGGAUAGUGGGGGAUGACUCGCGUCCUAUCAGCUUGUUGGUGGGGUAGUGGCCUACCAAGGCGACGACGGGUAGCCGGCCUGAGGGGGCGACCGGCCAAAAUGGGCUGAGAUACGGCCCAAACUCCUAAGGGAGGCAGAAGUGGGGAAUAUUGCACAAUGGUGGAAACACUGAUGAAGCAACGCGCGUGCGGAAUGACGGGCUUCGAGUAGUAAACCGCUUUCAGCAAUGACGCGGUAGUGGCAGAAGAAGCACCGGCUAACUACGUGCCAGCAGCCGCGGUAAUUC
rnacentral:rRNA from 1 species